rnacentral:rRNA from 1 species
CGUACACUCCUACGGGAGGCAGCAGUGGGGAAUAUUGGACAAUGGGCGCAAGCCUGAUCCAGCCAUGCCGCGUGAGUGAUGAAGGCCCUAGGGUUGUAAAGCUCUUUCACCGGUGAAGAUAAUGACGGUAACCGGAGAAGAAGCCCCGGCUAACUUCGUGCCAGCAGCCGCGGUAAUACGAAGGGGGCUAGCGUUGUUCGGAUUUACUGGGCGUAAAGCGCACGUAGGCGGACUAUUAAGUCAGGGGUGAAAUCCCGGGGCUCAACCCCGGAACUGCCUUUGAUACUGGUAGUCUUGAGUUCGAGAGAGGUGAGUGGAAUUCCGAGUGCAGAGGUGAAAUUCGUAGAUAUUCGGAGGAACACCAGUGGCGAAGGCGGCUCACUGGCUCGAUACUGACGCUGAGGUGCGAAAGCGUGGGGAGCAAACAGGAUUAGAUACCCGUGUAGUCCCAUGAU